UGUGAACUCUUCAUCAGUGAUAAAUCCUCAGUCCUGUAUCAUGUUCAUGAAGGUGUUGAGGUGUCAGAGUCUCAGAAUGCAAAGUUUUCAGGACGAGUCCAGAGUGACAAAGACGCCCUCAGAGAAGGACGAAUCAGACAUCAGCUGUCCAGACUCAGGACUGAUGACUCGGGUCUGUACCUGUGUGAGGUGAACACUGAUUAUGGCUUCAGUGUUGGAAGAUGUCGACUCAACGUCACUGCAGCUGCUGCUGAGACCAAACAUCAAACUCCAACUAUGAACCCACAGACAGAGAGUCGAGGAAGCAUCUGUUGUGGGUUUUUGGGUGGCAUGUACACCUAUGAACCUAUAUAUCUAUCUGCACUGAAGAUAUAUACUGUAACCUUCAUGUAGACUCUUAAGCACAAGCCGUUUUGCCUUCACCAGGGUUUAUUAAGGUGGUACAGUAACAGGGCAGUGUUACAGAGAGAGUUCUCCUGAAUAACUCCCGCCAAUACACACUCAACAUCUUUCACGCACAGCCAAAACUUGUCUAUU